AAGACCCCCUUUGGGUCCUCCAAGACCCCUUUUAGGUCCUCCAAGACCCCCUUUAGGUCCUCCAAGACCCCCUUUGGGUCCUCCAAGACUCCUUUAGGUCCUCCAAGACCCCCUUUGGGUCCUCCAAGACCCCCUUUGGGUCCUCCAAGACCCCCUUUGGGUCCUCCAAGCACCACCAAUGGGAUCAGAGCUGGGAUUGGGGGUGGAAAUGGGGGCUAUAGGGAGGAACUGGGGGUCUUUUAGGGGGGUCUCAAUGGUAACAGACACCCAGAACUCCAUACAGUGAUACAGACCAGCAUCAUUUAUUACAGUGGGUGGGUUGGGACGUUGUAGGACAGAGAGGAUCCAAACCAGUGGGUCCUCCAAGACCCCCCUUAUGGGUCCUCCAAGUACCAUCAAUGGGAUCAGAGCCGGGAUUGGGGGGGG